GGCGAGGUGGCAGAGCGGCCGAUUGCAGGCGCCUUGAAAGCGCCCGAGGGGCAACCCUCCGGGGGUUCAAAUCCCUCCCUCGCCG
rnacentral:tRNA from 2 species